rnacentral:rRNA from 1 species
GACGAACGCUGGCGGCGUGCUUAACGCAUGCAAGUCGAACGGAAAGACCCUGCUUGUGUGGGGUGCUCGAGUGGCGAACGGGUGAGUAACACGUGAGUAACCUGCUCUAGACUUUGGGAUAACUUCAGGAAACUGGGGUUAAUACCGGAUAGGAGCCCCUGUUGCAUGGUGGGGGUUGGAAAGUUUCGGCGGUUGGGGAUGGACUCGCGGCUUAUCAGCUUGUUGGUGGGGUAGUGGCUUACCAAGGCUUUGACGGGUAGCCGGCCUGAGAGGGUGACCGGCCACAUUGGGACUGAGAUACGGCCCAGACUCCUACGGGAGGCAGCAGUGGGGAAUAUUGCACAAUGGGCGGAAGCCUGAUGCAGCAACGCCGCGUGCGGGAUGACGGCCUUCGGGUUGUAAACCGCUUUCGCCUGUGACGAAGCGUGAGUGACGGUAAUGGGUAAAGAAGCACCGGCUAACUACGUG